CCUACGGGGGGCAGCAGUGGGGGAUAUUGCACAAUGGGGGAAACCCUGAUGCAGCGACGCCGCGUGGGUGAAGAAGCGCCUCGGCGCGUAAAGCCCUGUCAGCAGGGAAGAAAAUGACGGUACCUGAAGAAGAAGCCCCGGCCAACUACGUGCCAGCAGCCGCGGUAAUACGGAGGGGGCCAGCGUUAUCCGGAUUUACUGGGUGUAAAGGGGGCGGAGACGGGGAUGCAAGCCAGGAGUGAAAGCCCGGGGCCCAACCCCGGGACUGCCCUUGGAACUGCGUGGCUAGAGUGCAGGAGGGGCAGGCGGAAUUCCUGGUGUAGCGGUGAAAUGCGUAGAUAUCAGGAGGAACACCGGUGGCGAAGGCGGCCUGCUGGACUGCAACUGACGUUGAGGCCCGAAAGCGUGGGGAGCAAACAGGAUUAGAUACCCUAGUAGUC
rnacentral:rRNA from 1 species